rnacentral:rRNA from 1 species
UGGGCGUAAGCGCGCGCAGGCGGUUUCUUAAGUCUGAUGUGAAAGCCCACGGCUCAACCGGGGAGGGUCAUUGGAAACUGGAAAACUUGAGUGCAGAAGAGGAAAGUGGAAUUCCAUGUGUAGCGGUGAAAUGCGCAGAGAUAUGGAGGAACACCAGUGGCGAAGGCGGCUUUCUGGUCUGCAACUGACGCUGAUGUGCGAAAGCGUGGGGAUCAAACAGGAUUAGAUACCC